rnacentral:rRNA from 1 species
GCAAAUCAAUAUAAAUUGAUUUGUUAAUAUUUAUUUAUUAAUUUUUUUUUUUAUUUAAUUAAUAUAUUAAAAAUAAUUAUAUAAUUUAAUGUUUUAGUAAUUUUUUAUGAAAAAAUAAUAUUAAUAAUAGUGAAAUAAGUAUUGUGAAAGAUGAUUGAAAUAUUUUGAAAAAUUUUUAUUUUAAAAGAAAAUUUAGUUUAUUGACCUUGUGUAUCAGGGUUUAUCAAAUAAUUAAUAAUUAAUUUAUUAAUCUCGAUUUUAUAAGAGUUAAUAAUUUAUGAGAGUUAAUGUGUUAAAAUUAUUUUAAAUAAAUUAUUAGAAAUGAAAUGUUAUUCGUUUAUAAAGGUAUCUAGUUUUUUUAGAAAUAAAUUUAAUUUACAAAUUUUUAAUUUUUUGGUUAUUUAUUUAAUUUAAAAAUUUAUUAAUUUGAAUAUUUUAAGGGAUAAGCUUUAAAAUAAAUUAUUAAAAAUUAAUAAUAAAAAUAUAAAAAUGUAUGUUUAGAAUUAGCAAUCAUUAAUAAAUUUGUUAUAAAUUAUUUUAUAAUUUAUAUUAUUUAUUAUAUUUUAAUUUAUUUAUAAAAAUUUUUUUAUUAAUAUAUUAUAAUAAGUAAUAAUGAUAGAAUUAGUAUAUAUUUAUGUUUAAAUAAUUUUAUAUGAUAAGUUUAUAUAAAGAACUCGGCAAAUAAUUUACUCGCCUGUUUAACAAAAACAUGUCUUUUUGAGUUAUUUUUAAAGUCUGACCUGCCCACUGAAUAAUUUUAAAUGGCCGCAGUAUUCUAACUGUGCAAAGGUAGCAUAAUCAUUAGUCUUUUAAUUGAAGGCUGGUAUGAACGGUUGGACGAAGUAUAAGCUGUUUCAUAUAAAUUUAUAAUAGAAUUUUAUAUUUUAGUUAAAAAGCUAAAAUUUUAUUAAAAGACGAGAAGACCCUAUAAAUCUUUAUAUUUUAUAUUAUUUAGAUUUUUUGGAUUAAUUUUAUUUUUAUAAUAUAAAAUAUUUUGUUGGGGUGAUAUUAAAAUUUAAUGAACUUUUAAUUUAUUUAAAUCAUUAAUUUAUGAAUUAUUGAUCCGUUAAUAACGAUUAUAAGAUUAAGUUACUUUAGGGAUAACAGCGUAAUUUUUUUUGAGAGUUCAUAUCGACAAAAAAGUUUGCGACCUCGAUGUUGGAUUAAGAUAUAUUUUUAGGUGUAGCUGCUUAAAUGUUAAGUCUGUUCGACUUU